rnacentral:lncRNA from 1 species
GUGAAAGGUCGCUGGUCCCCGGCAACACGGCUCAGGCAAACGUAAGCGGCUUGUCGCAGAAACCAAGGGGUCCACGAAACGCGCUAGGCUAGAAGGCGGGAAGGAGAGAUUACUGACAGCCGUGCCAGCCAAUAAAAUAGAAAUCAACAGUGAGAGCUCAGAAAUUCCCAGACUGUUUUGAUGAUAAGGUCCAAGAACUUGCCAUGUGAUCCAUCACUACUAGACUCCCACAACUGCAUUAGAUUUGUUCAGGAUUUUCAUAUAAUUUUCAUAACUGGCUAAGUUCUGAAAUAACCCAUCUUGAAGACAUAAACAAUGUGCAUUGAUGGCUAGCCAGACUCUGUCCUGCCACAGUUCUCCUCCUACUCUUCAUUUCUUACCCCAAGGAGUAGUAAA